UCUUCUUUUUAGACUGAACCUCUUCAACUUUUCUUUUCAGGUCAUGAAAGAGUUUCAUCCUAUAAAACAUAUCAAAGAGCCUGGAACAACUUUACUUUUGUGGGACACUGACUAUCUGGAGAAGCUAUCCCCAUUUCCUUCGACCCAUCAUAGAACUGAUUGGUCUCAAACCUACCUUUCCUUUAUGGAAACCCAACUGAAAUACUGACUUAUCAACUGCAGCUGCUAAAAAUCAGAUUUCACACAACCGUAGCAUGCCUCAUACAUAAGUUGGACCACGUACGUUUUACUAUUUUUGCCUUUCUAGCAAGCUCAAAGUAUUGCUGCAUAACUUUGUUCCAUAACUGAAUGUGUAUAAUAUGAAGCAUAUUAUGUUAAUAUUUAUACAAUGAUGUUCGGAGUAUGCCCAUGCUAUGCACGGGUUCGGGCCAUCUAGU